CCUGCGGAGGAUCAUUAUUGAAACUUCAUGGGGGAGCGGGGCUCGGCCCGCACCGGUGGCGACGCCGUGUUGCGGCUGGGACUCGCGCCCUCUUCCAAACCCAAACACCUGUGAACCUUUGGGAGGGCGGUUGUAGUGACCGCGCUCCCGUUUUAAACAACUCUGAUGUCUAUUUGAAUGUGAUUCGGGGCAGCCCCGAUUUAAACUGAAACAACUUUCAACAACGGAUCUCUUGGCUCUCGCAUCGAUGAAGAACGCAGCGAAAUGCGAUAAGUAAUGUGAAUUGCAGAAUUCAGUGAAUCAUCGAAUCUUUGAACGCACCUUGCGCCCCUUGGUAUUCCGAGGGGCAUGCCUGUUUGAGUGUCUUGAAAUCAUCAAACCCAACCGGUCUUGUUGCCGGCGCGGUUUGGACUUGGGGGUUCUUUGCUGCCGCUCGCGGUGGCUCCCCUUAAAUGCAUCGGUCGGGCUUUCGUGCGGCUCUGUCCCUUGGCGUUGUAUUACCCUCGUCGCUGGAUGGCUCGCG
rnacentral:rRNA from 1 species